rnacentral:rRNA from 1 species
UACAGAGGUCUCAAGCGUUGUUCGGAUUCAUUGGGCGUAAAGGGUGCGUAGGCGGCGCGGUAAGUCGGGUGUGAAAUCUUGGAGCUUAACUCCGAAACUGCAUUCGAUACUGCCGUGCUUGAGGACUGGAGAGGAGAGUGGAAUUCCACGUGUAGCGGUGAAAUGCGUAGAGAUGUGGAGGAACACCAGUGGCGAAGGCGACUCUUUGGCCUGUAACUGACGCUGAGGCGCGAAAGCGUGGGGAGCAAACAGG